AUCCAGACUCCUACGGGAGGCAGCAGUGGGGGAUAUUGCACAAUGGGGGCAACCCUGAUGCAGCGACGCCGCGUGAGCGAUGGAGUACUUCGGUAUGUAAAGCUCUGUCAGCAGGGAAGAGAAUGACGGUACCUGACCAAGAAGCCCCGGCUAAAUACGUGCCAGCAGCCGCGGUAAUACGUAGGGGGCAAGCGUUAUCCGGAUUUACUGGGUGUAAAGGGAGCGUAGACGGCCAGACAAGUCUGAAGUGAAAAUCCAGCGCUUAACGUUGGAAGUGCUUUGGAAACUGCCGGGCUAGAGUGCAGGAGGGGCAGGCGGAAUUCCUAGUGUAGCGGUGAAAUGCGUAGAUAUUAGGAGGAACACCAGUGGCGAAGGCGGCCUGCUGGACUGCAACUGACGUUGAGGCUCGAAGGCGUGGGGAGCAAACAGGAUUAGAUACCCGUGUA
rnacentral:rRNA from 1 species